rnacentral:rRNA from 1 species
UACGUAGGGGGCAAGCGUUGUCCGGAUUUAUUGGGCGUAAAGAGCGUGUAGGCGGCCUGGAAGGUCAGCUGUGAAAACUCGAGGCUCAACCUCGAGACGCCGAUGGAAACCAUCUGACUAGAGUCCGGAAGAGGAGAGUGGAAUUCCUGGUGUAGCGGUGAAAUGCGCAGAUAUCAGGAAGAACACCCGUGGCUAAGGCGGCUCUCUAGUACGGUACUGACGCUGAGACGCGAAAGCGUGGGGAGCGAACAGG